UUUUAAUGAGAGUUUGAUCCUGGCUCAGGACGAACGCUGGCGGCGUGCCUAAUACAUGCAAGUAGAACGCUGAAGGAGGAGCUUGCUCUUCUGGAUGAGUUGCGAACGGGUGAGUAACGCGUAGGUAACCUGC
rnacentral:rRNA from 1 species